CUGGGAGGGUACAGAACAGACUUCAGUCAGGGUGAUGGGGGCUGAGAGGGUACAGAACAGACUUCAGUCAGGGUGAUGGGGGCUGGGAGGGUACAGAACAGACUUCAGUCAGGGUGAUGGGGGCUGAGAGGGUACAGAACAGAGGCUUAAUUGUGGUUUCAAGAGAGGCCUUUGUGUGGUUUCUGGGUCAGAUUGGAUGGCAGAAAGUCAUGGGUUGUAUUCCAAAUGACACCCUGUUCCCUAUCUAGUGCACUAUAGUGUUCCAUUUGGGAUGCGACCCAUGUGCAGUUAGUUUGGUGUGUAAUCCCCCCCAGUCAGUCCCCAGCGGCAGAUACAGUAUGGGACUUAAUCCGUGUCCAAGCUGGCCUGAUGUCGGCCCCAAAUCCUACAGUGAUCCUCUAAGAACGAGAAGAAGAGGCUUCAGUGCACUUCCUGUUCCUCAUUCCGAAUGUGAUGGGCAGGAAAUGUGCGCUUUACUGCUUACUGACUUCCACAGACCGGCAGAGAGAGAGACAGACAGACAGACAGACAGGCAGAGAGAGGGACAGACAGGCAGAGAGAGGGACAGAUGGGCAGACAGACAGAGCUUGUCAGAGGGGACACUGUUUGUUUAGUGAGUGUGGUUAGGUCAUGGCGGGCCGGGGACCACAGCUGCCUAUAGUGUUGAGGUCAGCCCCUUUUCUCAGAUUUUGGGUAGAGAAAGGAGGUCUCCUCCUCUACCCCUCUAUAGACCCAGACACCCUGAGGUCUCCUCCUCUACCCCUCUAUAAACCGAGACACCCUGAGGUCUCCUCCUCUACCCCUCUAUAGACCCAGACACCCUGAGGUCUCCUCCUCUACCCCUCUAGAGACCCAGACACCCUGAGGUCUCCUCGUCUACCCCUCUAGAGACCCAGACACCCUGAGGUCUCCUCCUCUACCCCUCUAUAGACCCAGACACCCUGAGGUCUCCUCUUCUACCCCUCUAGAGACCCAGACACCCUGAGGUCUCCUCCUCUACCCCUCUAGAGACCCAGACACCCUGAGGUCUCCUCCUCUACCCCUCUAGAGACCCAGACACCCUGAGGUCUCCUCCUCUACCCCUCUAUAGACCCAGACACCCUGAGGUCUCCUCCUCUACCCCUCUAGAGACCCAGACACCCUGAGGUCUCCUCCUCUACCCCUCUAGAGACCCAGACACCCUGAGGUCUCCUCUUCUACCCCUCUAGAGACCCAGACACCCUGAGGUCUCCUCCUCUACCCCUCUAGAGACCCAGACACCCUGAGGUCUCCUCUUCUACCCCUCUAGAGACCCAGACACCCUGAGGUCUCCUCCUCUACCCCUCUAGAGACCCAGACACCCUGAGGUCUCCUCUUCUACCCCUCUAUAGACCCAGACACCCUGAGGUCUCCUCCUCUACCCCUCUAUAGACCCAGACACCCUGAGGUCUCCUCCUCUACCCCUCUAUAAACCCAGACACCCUGAGGUCUCCUCCUCUACCCCUCUAGAGACCCAGACACCCUGAGGUCUCCUCCUCUACCCCUCUAUAAACCCAGACACCCUGAGGUCUCCUCCUCUAUAAACCCAGAUACACUAAGGUCUCCUCCUCUACCCCUCUAUAAACCCAGACACCCUGAGGUCUCCUCCUCUAUAGACCCAGACACCCUGAGGUCUCCUCCUCUACCCCUCUAUAAACCCAGACACCCUGAGGUCUCCUCCUCUAUAGACCCAGACACACUGAGGUCUCCUCCUCUACCCCUCUAUAAACCCAGACACCCUGAGGUCUCCUCCUCUAUAGACCCAGACACACUGAGGUCUCCUCCUCUACCCCUCUAUAAACCCAGACACCCUGAGGUCUCCUCCUCUACCCCUCUAUAAACCCAGACACCCUGAGGUCUCCUCCUCUACCCUCUAUAGACCCAGACACCCUGAGGUCUCCUCCUCUAUAAACCCAGACACCCUGAGGUCUCCUCCUCUACCCCUCUAUAAACCCAGACACCCUGAGGUCUCCUCCUCUAUAAACCCAGAUACACUAAGGUCUCCUCCUCUACCCCUCUAUAAACCCAGACACCCUGAGGUCUCCUCCUCUACCCCUCUAUAAACCCAGACACCCUGAGGUCUCCUCCUCUACCCCUCUAUAAACCCAGACACCCUGAGGUCUCCUCCUCUAUAAACCCAGAUACACUAAGGUCUCCUCCUCUACCCCUCUAUAAACCCAGACACCCUGAGGUCUCCUCCUCUAUAGACCCAGACACCCUGAGGUCUCCUCCUCUACCCCUCUAUAAACCCAGACACCCUGAGGUCUCCUCCUCUACCCCUCUAUAAACCCAGACACCCUGAGAUCUCCUCCUCUACCCUCUAUAGACCCAGACACCCUGAGGUCUCCUCCUCUAUAAACCCAGACACCCUGAGGUCUCCUCCUCUACCCCUCUAUAAACCCAGACACCCUGAGGUCUCCUCCUCUAUAAACCCAGAUACACUAAGGUCUCCUCCUCUACCCCUCUAUAAACCCAGACACCCUGAGGUCUCCUCCUCUAUAAACCCAGAUACACUGAGGUCUCCUCCUCUACCCCUCUAUAGACCCAGACACACUAAGGUCUCCUCCUCUACCCCUCUAUAAACCCAGACACCCUGAGGUCUCCUCCUCUACCCCUCUAUAAACCCAGACACCCUGAGGUCUCCUCCUCUACCCCUCUAUAAACCCAGACACACUAAGGUCUCCUCCUUUACCCCUCUAUAGACCCAGACACCCUGAGGUCUCCUCCUCUACCCCUCUAUAAACCCAGACACCCUGAGGUCUCCUCCUCUACCCCUCUAUAAACCCAGACACCCUAAGGUCUCCUCCUCUACCCCUCUAUAGACCCAGACACACUAAGGUCUCCUCCUCUACCCCUCUAUAAACCCAGACACCCUGAGGUCUCCUCCUCUAUAAACCCAGAUACACUAAGGUCUCCUCCUCUACCCCUCUAUAAACCCAGACACCCUGAGAUCUCCUCCUCUACCCCUCUAUAGACCCAGACACCCUGAGGUCUCCUCCUCUACCCCUCUAUAGACCCAGACACCCUGAGGUCUCCUCCUCUAUAAAUCCAGACACCCUGAGGUCUCCUCCUCUACCCCUCUAUAAACCCAGACACCCUGAGGUCUCCUCCUCUAUAAACCCAGAUACACUAAGGUCUCCUCCUCUUCCCCUCUAUAAACCCAGACACCCUGAGGUCUCCUCCUCUAUAAACCCAGAUACACUGAGGUCUCCUCCUCUACCCCUCUAUAGACCCAGACACACUAAGGUCUCCUCCUCUACCCCUCUAUAAACCCAGACACCCUGAGGUCUCCUCCUCUACCCCUCUAUAAACCCAGACAC